rnacentral:rRNA from 1 species
UACGGGGGGGGCAAGCGUUGUUCGGAAUUACUGGGCGUAAAGGGCUCGUAGGCGGCCAACUAAGUCAGACGUGAAAUCCCUCGGCUUAACCGGGGAACUGCGUCUGAUACUGGAUGGCUUGAGUUCGGGAGAGGGAUGCGGAAUUCCAGGUGUAGCGGUGAAAUGCGUAGAUAUCAGGAGGAACACCGGUGGCGAAGGCGGGACUCUGGGCCGAUACUGACGCUGAGGAGCGAAAGCGUGGGGAGCAAACAGG